AACAAACAGAGCUACUUCUAGCUGUACCAGGUUUACUCAUUAGAAUACAGAUUCUCUCUAAAGUGCUCUGAGACUGAUACAUUUGGUCCAAUCAUAUAUUACUUUAUCCUCCGCCUAAUUCUUUUAAAGGGCUUUCCUGGUGGCUCAGUGGUAAAGAACCCACCUGCUAAUGCAAGAGACAUGGGUUUGAUUCCUGGGCAGGAAGAUCCCCUGGGUAAAGAAAUGGCAACCCAUUCCAGGAUUCUUCUCUGGAAAUUCCCAAGGACAGAGGAGCCUGAUGGACAGCCCAGAGUCACAAAAGAAUCAGACAUGACUGACCAUCUUAACAACUCCUUUAGACUCUCUUCUCACACGUAAUCCUCAAGUGUCUACAAAUAUACAUCAGCAGAAUGUUGCAGCCCCAGGGACUGUAGCCCACCAGGCUCCUCUGCCCAUGGAAUUUUCCAGGAGCAUCUUUACCACCAGCACCACCUGGGAAGUCCCCAGCAUCUUCUGGGAAAGUAAUUUCAGUUAAGUCAUCACAAAGUCUUCAUGGAGAGGAGACUAGCCUCCAAGAAUGGGGUGGAAGGGCUGCUUCUAACAGGAAUGGAAGUUCAGUGAGAUUUUGAGAAAAUGCUAUUGCAAACGUCCCUUGUUCUCCUCUAACAGGAUUCUAAGGAUGACAGGUAAUAAUUUGAGAAACUGUUUUGACAUUGCAUACCCUGGUCUCCCAGAAUUCCAUUUUCCACCAGCAAAGAGGUCAUUAUUCCCUUCAAGUCAAAUUAAGCCUGACAAGAAAUCUUAGAUUCUCAUCUUUGCAGUUGUAGUUCCUGAAACCACUUUCAAUACCAAAUAACUCUAUCAGUCAGGAUUCUAUCAGGAAAAUAGAAAAUAACCUACAUAUCUCAAGCUGAAAGGGAUUUAGUACAUAGAAAUGGAUGCUUACAGAACCAUUAAAAGGGCUGGAGUGCAAAGACCAAGAAAAACAGUUGCUUGCUUUGUGAAGCUCAGUAGACCUCAGGGAUGAUAAUAACUCACUGCUAAUCAUCUUAUGAUUCUCUUCAGCAUUAAAGUAACAGUUUGCGGAAGGACACCCAAACUUAAAGGCAAAACCUCUCAACUGUAUUCUGCUGAAAUCUUCAUGCC
ensembl:lncRNA